rnacentral:rRNA from 1 species
UGGGGAAUAUUGCGCAAUGGGCGAAAGCCUGACGCAGCAACGCCGCGUGAGUGAUGAAGGCCUUCGGGUCGUAAAGCUCUGUCGGAGGGAACGAAUGCUCCUGAAGUUAACAGCCUCAGGAGGUGACGGUACCCUCAAAGGAAGCACCGGCUAACUCUGUGCCAGCAGCCGCGGUAAUACAGAGGGUGCGAGCGUUAAUCGGAAUUACUGGGCGUAAAGCGCAUGUAGGUCGAUAUUUAAGUCGGGUGUGAAAGCCCCGGGCUCAACCUGGGAAUAGCAUUCGAUACUGAAUAUCUAGAGUAUGGUAGAGGGAAGUGGAAUUUCCGGUGUAGCGGUGAAAUGCGUAGAUAUCGGAAAGAACACCAGUGGCGAAGGCGUCUUCCUGGACCAAUACUGACACUAAAGUGCGAAAGCGUGGGGAGCAAACAGGAUUAGAUACCCACGUAGUCCCUGAGCGGGCUGGCAAGGCGCAU